CCUGGGCACAUCCCAAGGCUCAUCCAGAACCAUGGGGUGCAAGUGACAGAAACAAGAGCGGCUGCUGAUUGCCUCACUGAGCGGUGAAGCCCAGCCUUGACCAUGGAUUAGGCCAGCUGGACCCAGGAGCUCAGGCCGGAGGAUGCCUGCUUCCCUCUGCUCUGCCCCACCGGCCCCAGCAGCCUGGGCCCACAUCCUCUCAGUCAGAAGCUGGCUCUCACCGGCUGGCUGGGCUCACAGCCCCACCCUGAAACCAGCAGUGUGGCCCGGGGCCCCCGCAGGGCUCAGACAGCCAGGCCUUGGGUGGUUGAAGGCCAAGAGCUGGGGGCCCUCUGGGAACCACACAGCCGGGAAUGGGAGGGGGUGCUCCCCAAGGGACAGUUGAGGUGCCGGCUUUCAGUGGGAGGAAAGGGAAUGGGUAUGAGCUGGACAGAGCCAUUAUGUCACCCAGAGAGGCUCUGUCCCCCGCCCCGCUGAGGGGGAGACAGUAGGAGAGUGGCCACAGGUCCAGCAGUGGCGAGCACAGGCUCUGGGGUCAGGUGUUGGAGCAGGGUCCAGCUCCUCCACUGGCCAGCUGCAUACCUGGUUCUCAGUGCCUCCCUCCCCUGGGGACAGGGGACAGUGCCAUGCAACCUUGUGGGGCACAGGCCCUCUGUGUGGUCAGCAUGCCAAGAGCACAGAGAGGG
rnacentral:lncRNA from 10 species